ACUUUGUUGGCCACCUUCUUCUUUGCCAAUGAGGAUUUACCCAGGAUGUAAGCAGCAGAGACAGCUCUCUACAGAGAGAAGUGGGUCCCUCAGGACCUGGCCUGCACCCGUGGGAUGGAAGCUCUGCCCCCUAGUCCAGCCGUGCAAUCCGCUGGUUAUAGGACCUUAGACAAGUCAUUUAAUUUUGCUGGAUUUCUUUUUCUUCAGCUGUAAAGUGAAAGAGCCAAAUCUUAGCCCUUCUAGGAGGUUGCUUCUAGAUCUAAAGUACUACUAUUUUAGGGACCAAGUGUUGGGGAGGGUAAAAGAAAGAAGAGAGCAGAUGGAGGCAGAAGAACCAACGAAAGCACUGGAAUACUCUCAGGUGACUACAUGGUGUGCACAGAGAGGGCAUGAGCUAGGUUUUUAAGAGAAGUCCGCAAGCUCCAGGCUGUUGGCAACAAUCGAGUUUCUGGGAUAAAGAAGGAAGAAUUCAUAAGAGAUGAUUCAAGUUAUGACCAUAUUGACUUGACUAGUGACUGUCAUUAACCUACCAUGAGGAACUUCUACUGAGGGCCGAAUGUGUCGACUCGUCUGCAAGGCAACUGCAUCUCAACCAACCAGGCCACAGUAUGGAGAAUCCCAGCAUGGGCCAGUCUGCUGAGUGGAUGGAUGUAUCUUGGCCAAGCUGGCAUCUGGCAAGUUGGGUGAAAGCCACAGGUUUGUUGUGAAAUACCAUAUCACAGCUGCCCCAGGCAGAUGACUUUCCAAAGUGACAUACUGUGCUGUACCCACUGCCUGUCACGUAAAGACAAGGAAAGAAGUUUUCCAGGUUCUCCUACGCCCAGUUCAGCCCUCACUUUGCCUUCCAUACUUUUGGCAUGCUGGCUGCUCAGAAAUGUGAUCAUUUGCUAUUGAUGAAGCAGACACAGUGUCUAAACGAGAGCUCUUUGGAAUGCCGGACAUAAGAGGAGGGCAAAUCACCCACUAGAUUUACUCUAAAUGAGCCACAUCAAAUGGAACAUGAACAAAAACCUCUAAUCAGUCGCAAUCAAAUGAAAAGAGACUUCCUGGAGAGUAACAGCCAGAUGGGAAGUUAAAGUCGUUCAGACCAUUAACAUUCCACUAAUGCUCACUGCUUUUUUAACAAGCAAAUGGAGCCAGGUUUGGUAGAGGAAUGGAAAAUGCAAGACCAGUGCAGGGGCUCACACCUGCAAUCCUAGCUCUUUGGGAAGCGGAGGUAGGAGGAUUCCUUAACCCCUGGACUUUGAGGCUGUAGUGAGCCAUAACUGUGCCACUGCACUCCAGCCUGUGUGGCAGAGCAAGACCCUGUCUCUAAAAAAAAAAUUUUAGACCCAUCCACGUUUUCAGGUUUUUCUGUUUGUUCGCAGACAGCGUCUUACUUUGUCACCCAGGCUUAAGUGCAGUGGCACGAUCUUGGCUCACUGCAGCCUUGACCUCCUCGACCUCCCAGGUUCAAGCAAUCCUCCUGCCUCAGUCCCCAGGUAGCUGGACUACAGGUGUAUGUCACCACAUCCAGCUAAUUUUUUUGUAGA